rnacentral:lncRNA from 1 species
UCACAAAGUUUUUUUUAUUUUGUUUUGGUUUGGUUUUUUGUGACCAGAAAUGGUUAAGGAAAGCUGAUCCAGGCAAUCUGUGCUUCCUACUGGGUACUCUAAGUCCCUGAGAGGAGAAGAAACUGACUCAAGGGCCCACAACAAGAUGUCAGGCUUAGAAAAUAAGAGAUGGGCCAAGAAGCUACCAGAGGUGCACCUCAUUGUCCUGGAAGUUCAAGCAUGGUUGGGACCUUCUGGUCUCUUCUACAAGCUGGAGGGGAAGGCUCUAGCAGGAAUCCACAUGGGAAGAAGGAAGCCUGCCUGA